rnacentral:pre_miRNA from 1 species
UUAACUCAAAUUUGUAUGCAUUUGGAACAGCGCCCUUAGCGGCAAACGUAGGUAAACGUUACAACUUCAUAUAAAUUUUAGUUA